AGACACCGACCCCCCCGCGGCGGACGCCCCCCCCCCGCCUUCCCGCUGCAGCCCAGCUCUACACCCCCAAGGAAAGACGUGGUUAGAGAAGCUCUGCUAGCUCUCCUCUCCUGAGACUGGUGCUCAGUGCUGAGCUGGGCAGAAGCUGAGCAGGACACCUGCAACUGUUACAGCAAUAAAGAUUUUCCUGUGCUUCUGGAUAACACAGAGCCACAAACA